CCUACGGGAGGCAGCAGGGAGGAAUAUUGGGCAAUGGGCGGAAGCCUGAACCAGCCAAGUCGCGUGAGGGAUGAAGGUUCUAUGGAAUGUAAACCGCUUUUAUAAGGGAAUAAAGUGCGGGACGUGUCCCGUUUUGUAUGUACCUUAUGAAUAAGGAUCGGCUAACUCCGUGCCAGCAGCCGCGGUAAUACGGAGGAUCCGAGCGUUCUCCGGAUUUAUUGGGUUUAAAGGGUGCGUAGGCGGCCUUUUAAGUCAGCGGUGAAAGUCUGUGGCUCAACCAUAGAAUUGCCGUUGAAGCUGGGGGGCUUGAGUAUGUUUGAGGCAGGCGGAAUGCGUGGUGUAGCGGUGAAAUGCUUAGCUAUCACGCAGAACCCCGAUUGCGAAGGCAGCCUGCCAGGCCAUGACUGACGCUGAUGCACGAAAGCGUGGGGAUCAAACAGGAUUAGAUACCCCUGUAGUC
rnacentral:rRNA from 1 species